UUCCGGUUGAUCCUGCCGGACCCGACUGCUAUCAGAGUAGGACUAAGCCAUGCGAGUCAACGCCGUAAGGCGUGGCAUACGGCUCAGUAACACGUAGUCAACAUGCCCAAAGGACGCGGAUAACCUCGGGAAACUGAGGAUAAACCGCGAUAGGCCAAGGUUUCUGGAAUGAGCCAUGGCCGAAACCUACAUGGCCUUUGGAUUGGACUGCGGCCGAUCAGGCUGUUGGUGAGGUAAUGGCCCACCAAACCUGUAACCGGUACGGGCUUUGAGAGAAGGAGCCCGGAGAUGGGCACUGAGACAAGGGCCCAGGCCCUAUGGGGCGCAG
rnacentral:rRNA from 1 species